CUUUGUAAAACUUAGAGGAGAGGAGAGACACUGGGAAAAAUGAAGUUAGUUUGCCUCUUUGACCAAAGAAAGAUCUGUUCUUCCAACGGUUCUCUCCAUUAGCCUUUGAUAAGCAAGAGUAUCAUCCUAAAGGACGACCAAACCUUCAAAACAUGUGAAACACCUGAAAUAUAUAAUACUCUGAAACAAGGUAUAUAUCAUGGUC